rnacentral:lncRNA from 1 species
AAGGUGGUACUCCAUUUCAAGUUGUUUCUUUCCAGCUGCAUAUUAGAAAAGAUAAACCUUUUUGGGGGUUUGGUUUGUCGUCAAGUUCAAAUAUGUUUGACACAUUUAAUUCCAGUAACAUUUGGGUGUCUAUUUUUUAAUUAGUUGUUUCGAUUGUUUUGUAUAUCAACCUUAACAUUGCAUGUGACUACCCCGUUGCAUAUAGAGCCUCAAAGACUUAAGUAUAGCAGUGAUGCCAAAAAAAGCAACUGCGUAUGAUCAUAUGAUGUGCGUUUAUAUAUAUCUCAAUUGUUUACUAACACAGUAGUAUAGUCUUUAUCCUCAUCCGUAUACAUUUCAGUUGUAGUUUUCUAAUUAGUUUGAAUAUAAACCUGCUAAUUAAGUCUGAAGACCUGGUCAGUUUUACAAAGAUACACGUGUGCUGCCGGCAUGGAAUUAGUCUAAUAAAAAAAAAAUAUUUUGAAAUCAGUGAAUUGGAAUUCCUUUGUUACCUGAAGAUUGUGUGAAACAUCAAAAACUGUAUUUUUGUAUGUUUGUGUAUGCUUUAUCAAAAGGUGCAAAUGAUGAUAAGUGUGCAUUGUUAACUAGGACAGUACAUACAUUAACAAAACUUGGUUCAGGUAUGUUUGAUUAUGCAUGAGAUAAAUAUGUUUUCUUCCUGCAUCAAAUUAAUAUUAAUUCACUGAUGAUAACAAUGAUAAAUUAUGAUUUAUUCUAUUUUUUCAAUUUUACAUCCUUCCAAGAUUUCAACUAUAUAUCAAUGUUCCUUGCUAAUAUAUUUUUAAAAUGCAACUUUUUUUUUAUUAUGAAACUAUAACUAUAAAACAUAAUUUGGAUUUUAUUAAUGACUAGGCGAGUUUUAAAUUAUUUUUAAUAUUUAUUGUUUGAAUGCAGAAACUAUUACAAUUCUUUAGAAGGAAGUUUGCUAAUUGCGUUUUGGUUUCUGUGUGCUCUUUUCUAUAUUGAUGCAAAGCCCGCUAUAUUUUGGCAGUAUUUUUUUACACCCAGAAGAAAGCCUACAUGAGUCAUUCCUUUAUUAUAAAUUUUCACUAAUUGGAUUGAUUAUAAUUGACAUUUUCACAACAAAGACGUAUAUCCUUCUGUUACCAUAGACUACAGUUACAGAUAUCUUGAUAUGACGUGUAAGCACAUGCAGGAAUCAUUAAUGAUUGCGUAAUAAUUCUGCAUCAAUGAAAUAUUUUAUCUGCUUUAAAAAUACCAAAAGGUCAAUUCCAUUGCGUCUACUUCGGACAAUAGAACGCAACGAAACACUUGAAACCAUGUACACACUAAACCAUCAUUUGCAGAAUGUUUGAAAUUAAUCAAGUUAGUUGAUUGAUGUACACGAGUUUGAAUCAAAUAUGUUUUUAAUUCUUUGGUUUGUUUCAAAGUUGAUUUGUAACGAUUUGAUUUCUACACCUUAAACAAAUGAAAAUACAGGUUAAUUAAAUGACAUCUAGACUAAACUACACACGAAAGGCUGAUAGAAAUAAGCGAGUCCAUUCAUCUUAAAUUGUUUAUUUAAGACUUUUUAUAAAUUUGAUAUACGUUUUUAGUAUGUUAUAAAUCGUUAUAGAUAUGAAAAUUGAUUUUAAUCGGGAAACACAAAUUUCACAGGAAAUGUUCUUUUAGUUAGGGCCCGCCUAAUGGCAGGUCGCCCCAAUAGUGAUCAAUCUGUCCGUCUGUCCGUGUCAAUUUGUGUCCGCUCUUAAUCUAGAGAAUCGUUAUAAUUUAUACUUUAUACUUGACAUGUAUAUUAACCAACACCAGAGGGUGUGUCGACUCAUAAAGUUCAAGGUAAACAACUUUCAGUUGACAACCCCAUGUCCUAUGGUAAAGACCGUGUCCGCUCUAUAUCUUGAGACCCGUUAUGAUUUUAAAGUUAACACUUGACCUUUAUAUUAACCAACACUGACUAGAGGGUGUGUCAUAAUGUGUGUACAGCUUCCUAUGUGUAAGAUUCGUCAGGCUGUCUGUCGGUUCUUUCGUUACAACCAUAAGUCCAAAAAAAAAAAAAGAAAACAACAGCAGUCACAGUUUAGCAUAAAAUAAAUAUGAAAUAAAAAUGAAGACAAUUUUAAUUUAUUUGAUACCAUACCACGACGGGUUCAUUCAUUUUUUUUUCUCUGUCAGAACUUUCAUGUGCAUGAUCAUGUGAUGUUCCUACAGUACUGAAGCCUUAAAUGUUGCUGUUAUAACAUCAUUAAAAAAUAAGGAAAUGUGAAUUGAUUGUCAUUAAAAUAGCUUUAUCCAUAAAGACAAAAAAGAGCGAUGUGGAGAAUUGCAGGUCACCAAUAAUGAGCACAAUUAAUGCUUUAUGUAAGGUAUAAAUUGUUUGGAAUACUAGUAAAACUCCUUUGAAUUAUGCGUUAUUUUUUUAUGACUUACAGAUCUAUAUCAUUUCAGAAACAAACCACGUGCAAAGACAUGAAGGGGAUCUAUCAUAAAGCAAUGCAACUCCAUGGUCACGUGUUCGUCAUCUUUACAUAUGAGGAACAUCACUAAAAUGUGAGAUAUAUUUUUAAAUAAAAUAAUUAUUGUCGAUACUUUUUCAUCAUAAAAUAUUUGGUAGGAAAGUAU